AGGAAACGCUAAUGGGCCAAGGGAGGCUGGCUAAGAUGAGCACGGUGCUGGUGCAGGAGUAGGCAGCGGCCCAGAGAAAACAGGCUCUGGUUGCUUCAUAGGGAGCCGAUAGUAUCUGGUCUUGGAAACCUGGAGUGUCUGGUCCCCGGAGCUGCAGCAAGUUUGAUCCCUUGUUUGCUGAGGUCCUCCUACCUUUUUUUCCUGCUUAAUUACUUUUAAAAGGUGACUAGCGCAUGGGUCACAUGUCCCCAUCAUUUAGAUAUUUUUUUAAUGUUCUUCUACCACUUUUUCUUUUUUAAGGUUCUAUAGUUGGGUUGGUCUUGGAUGUAGCCAAGGCUAGCCUUGAAUUUGUUACAUCUCUUAGGCAAAUUUGAGUCCAAAACUGCCUACUUCUCUUUGCAGGCCACAAAGACUCUGUGACAUGUGCUGGUUUCAGUCAUGAUUCCACCCUAGUGGCCACAGGGGACAUGAGUGGUCUUUUGAAAGUAUGGCAGGUAGAGACCAAGGAAGAAGUCUGGUCCUUUGAAGCAGGAGACCUGGAGGUGAGAUCCUUGGAGUGGGUCUCAACUCUGUGGGACCUUAAGUGAGAAUGAGGGCUUCUGGGAGGGAUGGUGGCAGGUAUAGCCCUCUGUAUACUGGAGAAGUUUGCCUUGAGCCACAGCACCCCUGGUCUAACAAUGUAUCUGUUUAUCUUUAAGUUCUUGCUGACCUUAGAAGGUCACACCUUGGAUAAGGUUCAUGGACUCUUAGGUAGGCUGGGUAGCAGGCCUUACUUGCUGAUCCUCCCUCUCUGACCAGUGGAUGGAGUGGCACCCUCGGGCUCCUGUUCUGUUGGCCGGCACAGCUGACGGCAAUACUUGGAUGUGGAAGGUACCCAAUGGUGACUGUAAGACCUUCCAGGGCCCCAACUGCCCUGCAACCUGUGGCCGUGUCCUCCCUGAUGGUGAGAGCAGUCGCCUCUUCCUGGGGGGGGGGGGGUGGCUCCAGUGACUGGGGGUACUUUAGUCAUCCCAGUCUCCUGCCCUACACUAGGUCUUGGCUGUGACUCCAGGGGGAGUUUGGGGACCCCCUAGUCUAUCCUUCCUGUUAAUUCUUUUCUUGGUGUGUCUGAGUGUCCUUUGUCCUCUGGUUAUCCAUGCCUUGGUCCUUAGGAAAGAGAGCUGUGGUAGGGUAUGAAGAUGGUACCAUCAGGAUUUGGGACCUCAAGCAAGGAAACCCCAUCCAUGUACUGAAAG
rnacentral:lncRNA from 1 species